CGUUGACAAGGCUGACACCACCAAUCAGCUUCGGCUCAGCAAGGUCACUGUUCAGACUUGACUCGUGAUUGGCUGCUGCGCUUCAGCGUGUUAUUACUGUCUGAUUUGAUCGGAGGCAGGGGGUGGUCUCCAAUCAAACAGAGAAAAGGUCCUGGAGAAGAUGUAUCUUUAAAGCUGUCUUGCUGAAUUGGAAGUCCCUGGAGGGCAGAACUGGCACCCUGUUCAAUCUGGAAUGCCCAGAAAUUCAAUCAACAGAAGUCAGUAUUGAUUUCACACCCUCCUGGACCCCUAUUUGAGUCUCUGUGUGGUGGCCCCUCUCCCCGGAAGUGAAGUCUUCCAGACUAUGAGUUGCUUUGGUCAGAGUUAUUGGAAUGAGAAGAGAGAAUUUGCCUUUUAAUUGGUCUUUUCCAGACUUCUGGUGAGAUUCCUAACACUACCAACCUCAGGAGUACAGAGCCCAGAGAAAGUCCAUUGGGGUCCAUUUUCAGGAUGGUGCAUAUGGGAACAAUAAUUUAUGAACGGUAAUAAGAGUUGGGGAUGCAAUUCCCUGCCCAACAUCAGGAUAAGUGUACCCCACUGAUUACCGAAUGCACAGAAAAUCCUUGACUAAAUAAGAUAAAAGCAGUCUGCACUUCUUGUUUAUAAGUUGGCAUUUUUCAAAAGCAAUUGAAAAAAAAAGAGAACAUGAAAAUCUCAAUGAAGAAAUAUGUUUUAAGAAACAUAUAUAUUUUUUAAGAGGUAUAGAUGUGGGGGGUUGGCAGUGAAAAAUCAUCUGAGCUUUUCCACACAGGGGAUGGAAAAAUUAGCUUGCACUGCUGUGUGAUGCUGCUGUGAAUUUGCCUCCUCGCUAGCUGUGGAUUUUCCCCUCGAGGGAUCUGAAAAUGUAUCACGUUUUAUUAAUUUAUUGGCUCUGCACCGAGGUGUAUUGUAAGCCAACUUUAAGUACUUAAUUUUGGUAUUUAUUCACUGCUCAUAAAAAGAGGCAGCUUUCCUGACAAACCCUGAGGAUAUCUAUAAUCAACCAGGGAUAAGAAAUCUAAACACAUUUCAAUAUGCUAUUUGUACUUAUUUUUAAAUUCAUUGGUGGGUGGUUGGGUAGUGGUGAUUGUGUGUGUGUCCAUGUUUGUGUGCUUGUGUUUGUGUGUAU
rnacentral:lncRNA from 1 species